CCUUCUCGUUGUUUCCAAACUCCAACUUCGCGUUUUUCCUUUCACUUUGCCAUGCCUCAAAAACAGUGACCUGGUACUGUCUUAGAUAGCAAUGAACUCUCUUCCUUGAACACACCGAAACGGGCUGUUGCCAUCUCGACGGGACGCACCGCACUUCGGAAUGCGACCCAAUUACCGCACAACAAUAAGAUGCAUAGAAUCUAUCGCCUGCGGCUCGCUAUUGUGAUUGCUCAUACAGAUUAGCCGCUCAUAUUUUACAUACUACUAAAAGUGUUUAUGUAUCUUAGUAUAUUAGAGGAUGAGUUAGAUAGAAGCAUAAGCAGCUUAUGGGAAAAAACGCGAUGUAAUAUAUCAAGUCAAAUAGAACCAUUUUAUUUUACUUACAGGUUUCUCUUUCACAUGUCAUUCGACUGAAACAUAACAUGCAUAAACAUUUCGCUUUGAAAUUAUUUACAUAUUUUUAUUUCUUUAUAAUAUUUUCUUUUAUCCGUGUUUUGUUUCCAAUCUAAAAUAGAUGGCAAUGUCUUUUACAGUUUCUUUUUCCUGAUCUCACACAUGAACAUGGCCUUCCUGGUCCCUUUCGUGCUCCCAGUGCAUUCCGCGCAUGCGGACUGUGAUCCUCAUACAGUUAUUGCCAAUCUCGUUCCCAGAGCCCACGUACCUUUGGCCCAGCGGCAUGGUACAGCCGCAAGGUAAAUUGCCGCCGGGCAAAAGGUACGUGGGCUCUGGGAGCGAGAUUGAGUCAUAUCAAUAAAUAUGCAUUUACUUUCUGCGUUGCACACUCUGGAUAAACUAUUUAACAGCAAACCAUAUGGGGUACCUGUGGUGCUAUUCCAAGAGAAGUUCAAAUGUUUUAUUUGACUAUAUAUAUACCUUUCUCUUAUUAAAUCAUCCAGCUUAUGAGCUA